CAAAAGGCGCUUUUUAGCGCCAUCAAUUAAAGGUCCAAUUAUUC
rfam:Aspergillus wentii DTO 134E9 unplaced genomic scaffold ASPWEscaffold_3, whole genome shotgun sequence.